GAGAGCCAAGCAAGUUGGAGCUGCCCGGGAACUGGAUGUGCUUGCUUAGAAAACAUUUCAACAUUUCCAAGGGUAUAGUUUCUCCCACAUACUCUGGAACGCUUGGAAACCACUUUAAUUAGCAUUGUUUGCCUGUCUGGCUGCCUUGGGUCUUUGGUUUGCUGAGGGCUGCUUGGAGGCUAUGCCCUCCUCUCCAGCCCCUGCGUUGGGAAGUCACAGGAGACCGGAGCUGCGCACGACAUCACAGCGCCGAAUUCUGACCCAAUCUGAAUCAAAUGUCACCCAUACCCUGUCUUCAACCAACAAAAGAGCAACGAAGCCAGAGACAUCAUCUUCAGCUGCCUUGGCCUGUAAGGAAUUCAUUCUGACUUGAGAGGUGCUUUAACACUUUCACAUGUAAUUGUGUCCAGAAUUGGUGGGUUCUUGGUCUCACUGACUUCAAGAAUGAAGCCGCGGACCCUCGCGGUGAGUGUUACAGCUCCUAAGGUGGCGCGUCUGGAGUUUGUUCCUUCUGAUGUUCAGGUAUGUUUGGAGUUUCUUCCUUCUGCUGAGUUCGUGGUCUCACUCGCUCAGGAAUGCAGCUGCAGACCUUCACGCGUGGAGCCAUCCUGCAUUAGUUUUCACUAGCGCUUCCUUAGUGUGGCAAGCCGAACUACCGGAGUGUUAACCCGGAUGGUGCCGUGAACGAGGCCACACAGGAACUGGGUUUCACCCUUGGAAGAAACACACAGCCUUGGACAUUCAUCUCCUGCCUGUUAGUUUCUUAGGGCUGCUGUAGCAUGUUACCACAAACUGGAUCAGACUGCAGACAUGUGUUCACUGAC
rnacentral:lncRNA from 1 species